rnacentral:rRNA from 1 species
CUGUCCUACGGGAGGCAGCAGUGGGGAAUAUUGGGCAAUGGGCGCAAGCCUGACCCAGCAACGCCGCGUGAAGGAAGAAGGCUUUCGGGUUGUAAACUUCUUUUAUGAGGGACGAGAGAAAUGACGGUACCUCAUGAAUAAGCCACGGCUAACUACGUGCCAGCAGCCGCGGUAAUACGUAGGUGGCAAGCGUUAUCUGGAUUUACUGGGUGUAAAGGGCGUGUAGGCGGGACUGCAAGUCAGAUGUGAAAAUUAUGGGCUCAACCCAUGACCUGCAUUUGAAACUGUAGUUCUUGAGUGCUGGG